GGCACCGCCGCGGGGUCCGCCGGGCCCGGGGCGCCGCUGUCCAACGGCUCUGAGCCGCGGCUGAGCCAUUCGGGUCCGCAGGCCGCGGGGGUCCUUACAGGUUGUCCGUGCGGCCUGCGAGUCUGCGGCCCCUCAGCCGAGGCCAGAGUGUGACCACGGGGGUGACCCGGCACCGCUGUCCCCUCCUUGCUGCCCGUCUCAGGUGCAGCCCGGCCCCUCUCGGAGCUGAGCCCCCGGGCAGUGGCACUCGGGGUGUUCGUGGCUUCCCAGCCCUGCCUGGGGCCGGCGGUGGGGAGGCGGCUCUGUCAGCGCGAGCAGGGCCCCGGCAGCCUGCGGAAGGGCUGUGUGAGGCGUUGCCUUGGUGGAACCGGGCUGGGGGUGGGAGCUCUGGAGGGGGGUGCUGCAGGCACAGCUGGCAGAGCCCAGCAGGAAGAGUGUAGCAUUGACAGAGGGGCAAAAUGAGGUUGCAGGUGUCUGAAAAAGAAGAGAGCAGAGGUGACAGAAGGAUUUUGCUUCCCCUGAACAGCUGGACUGUGUUUUAUUAUAACCUGAUCUGAGCCUGUGUCUCUGGUGCUGUCACUUGGAUCAGAGAUUUUUGUAGAAUUAGAUUGGAUAUUGGGAAGGAGUUCUUGGCUGUAAGGGUGGUUGAAGACCUGGCACAGGUUGCCCAGAGAAGCUGUGGCUGCCCCAUCCCUGAAGUUAUUCAGGCCACAUUGCACGGGGCUUGGAGCAAGCUGGUGUAGUAGACGGUGUGCCCAUGGCAGCGGGUGGAACAGGAUUGUUGGAAACGAUACAACUUCUAAGUUUUUGAACUAGCUUUUUUUUUUUUUUAAUCAGGGGUUUUGUUCAUCUUUGCCCAGGAAGGAAAUGGAAGUUUCUUUUCAAGAGACUGUUCCCUGGGCAAGACCUGAUGAGCUUAACAUCUCGAGGGACUGGGAGCCACCAGAGGAUGCACAAGAGAAGCCUCAGCAACUGCCUCUGCUUGCCUAAGAAUUCAAAAGCAAAGCUGAAGAGGUUUCCAGUUGGAUCUACAGGAGAAGACCUGAACUCCACUGGGACACUGGGCUGCAGGCGCAAAUGCCUAGAGAAUUACUGCAGUGCCUCUGUGUUGCUCCAUCCUUUGUUCCAUGUGUCCCUUGGAGUGGCACACCAAGCUCCAUCAGCAUUCCUGCUUCUAAGUGUGGGGGAGAGUGGAUCCAUGAUGGUGGUAGGACUUCAGGCCCUUGGAGGUACCAGGUUUCAUCCCAGUAUCUGAAUGGGCUUUGGAACAGAGAUCAAGGCAAGUCAUGGAGCAGGAAGGAUCCCAGAAGAAUCCUGCGUUCGUCAGCUGUUUGGAGCAGGAUAUUCUGAGUCUUCUUCACAAGUAAAACCUCAGCCGUGAUUCUCACUGUCUCAACUGACUCUCAUUCUGGGAGUUUGGCCCCUUAGGAGCUGGGAUGAAAGCAAGCAAUCCAUGGAGAAAGAGCUUCAGAGAAGAGAACAGAUGUGCCCAAGCUGGGGACUGGGCUGUGAUGGCUGCAGAGAAUCCAUGGGCUGUAUGGAGCCUGCCUGCCUGCCUGCCUGCCUGCCGUGGGAAGGGGCAGGUAUGUCUCUGCUAAGGAAGUGUCUUUCCAGGAACCCAGCAACAUGCCCUGUGCUCCCAGGGCUCAGUGGGCAGGUCCUCCUCAGCUGCCCACUCUCCAGGCUUGUAGCUGCAUCUCCCUAGCACCAAGGCAUCAUGUGUGGUGUCACCCAGGCUCAGUUUUGUUCAUGCUUAGUACAGGGUGUUGUAGUGAGAGAAAAAGCUUUGUGUAAAACAAACCCUGCCAUGGCACAGCACCCUGCACCCUCCAAUGAGUGUGCCUCACUUUUCCAUGGAGUUCAGUCUCCUGAGAUGUGCUGAUUAUCUAUCACAUGCCCUGGAGCACUUGGGAGCCCCAGGCCUGCAAUCCACCCUUCCAGGCAAUAUCUUAAUUUGCCUUUGAUUUCCUCUUCUGGCUUCCUACAAGGAAACCCACUUUGGGUGGGGGAUUCUAUUUUGUGAUCAUCCUCCUCCAUAGAGGAGCAAGACCCCUUUUGUUACUGGACCAUGAGGAAAGGCAGUCUGCUCCUGUGGCUUUCCCAUUGUGGUUGUGGUUGCCCAGCACCCAGACACAUUUCCUAGCACUGUGGAGACUUCGCUCUUCCUCCACUUUCUUGAGGCUUUGUCCACAAACCUUUGUCUGGAAAACAGCAGAGCCCUUCUGGAGGGAUGUAACAUUUCCAACAUUUCAGUUUUUCUGACAGUGCAGAGACACCAUUCCCAUCCUAAGCAACAUAUGCUAAAUCAACCAGUCUUUUCUCUGUGCUUGUUUGGCAGCUGGGACAAUGACAGAGCAGAGUCAGGAGGAUGCUAGUGCUACACUGCUGGAAUCAAAUAACCAUCUUUGUCAGCUUUGCUUUGCUAACAUAGUCAUCAGCUCCUAAAGUUCACUGUGGGCAUCAGUGGCCAAUUCCCAUGUCCAUGAAGAACUGAAUACAAUUUUAGCUGUCACUAGUAUUUGAGAAGUUGUGAUGUAGCAGAACUGGUUCCCCAAAGACUUGUUGCAAGGGAUGCUCAAGGACAUAAGAGGAGCCCAGAUCUGGAAUUGCACCAUGCUCCACCCUCUGCUCAGCACAUUUAUGCACCAAUGGCCUUUAGAGUCCCACGGAGGAAGCCCCCAGUGCAAGUGGGACCCAGCAUGGCUGGGUGGGCACAUGGGUGGUCAGCCUGACUCUCAGACUUUCCCCGCUCUAGUUGCUAUGGCAGAGGUGAGAUCUCCUGUUUGUCCAUGAUGCAGAUGUUCUGGGAAACAAGGGCGUGACAACCAUGGUUGACCUUCAUCCACUGCUGUGACUUCUAGGCAAGAGGUCCACCUACUGAUCUUCCAAAUUACCAAUUCUACGUUUUCUGCAGAACCCUUAGGUCACGGGAAAUGAAAUGACAGGUCAUAUCCUGUUCUGUGUCCACCCAUGGUAUCUGAUGGUAUCGUACCCUAUGCCGUGUCAGGACACUGCUGUCAUCAGGGCUCUGGACGGUUUCCUCUGCAAGGCUGUGUGGUAUCCUUGACACUGCACUUUUUCCAUUGUGUCAUGGAUUUCAGCAAUGUUUCCAUCCUUGGUUGCUGUCUGCCUAUAUAAAGAGGGCAGAACCCAGGGAUCCCACACCAGGAACAGUGAGGGACACUCUGCGACAGUCCAGCCUCACUCCUACAAUUCACCUCUACCCAAGAGGACCAUGAAGACCUUCACAGCAGCCCUUUCUGUACUUUUUGUGGUUGUCUUCUGCCACCAGGCCACCUCCUCUCCAAGCGAGUCCAAUCUCUCCAAGGAACUGUCUCCUCUUUCUGUCUGCUGUAUAAGGUCUAGUAAUGCUUGGCAGCUCUCUCUUACUAGCAUCUGCUGUAGGAAAAGAGAAGCCUGUCUUACCUUGGCUCCCUGAUGGAAGAUGGCUAUGGUGGGAGCCCACUGUGGGAACAGCACUUCCUCCAGUGAGAAUCUUCUCAUCUUCUCACCCUACUUCUCCCCACUGGCACUUUUCCUGGUCUGAUGUAACAGAAAACUUCUCUUCCAGUUUCUCUCCACUCUGGUCCCUGCUGUGUUGAGUACAACCCCGGACCAUUGCCCUUGAGCCGUGUGAAGAAUUAUGUGCCCACGGGCAGCCACUGCUCCCAGCCAGCUGUGAUAUUUACCACCAUCAAGAACAAGCUGGUCUGUGCCAACCCUAAUGACAAGUGGGUCAAGGACAUAAUGAAUCAAUUAAAGGACAAUAGGCACAGUGGAUAAGCAAUACCCUGCUCUCUCCAAGCACCACUUCUGCAGGAAUGUGCUCUCAUGGACACCUCCAAGACAUAAUCUAUUUUCUCAUUGCCUGGGAAUUUGGCAGGGUAUUCAACUCAGUGUUUAGCUCUUUUACGGAAGGCUGUGCAAUGCUGGUCUUAAUUUAUUUGACAUAUUCAGUGAAACUUUUCAUUCUCCAUUGUACUGAAGGUGUUGAAGUUAUUUUUGUAUAAUAAAAAGGAGCAAAACUUGCAA